GACGAACGCUGGCGGCGUGCUUAACACAUGCAAGUCGAACGGAAAGGCCCUGCUUUUGUGGGGUUCUCGAUUGGCGAACGGGUGAGUAACACGUGAGUAACCUGCCCUUGACUUUGUGGUAACUUCAGGAAACUGCGGCUAAUAUCGGAUAGGAUCUCCUGCUGCGUGGUGGUGGUUGGAAAGUUUCGGCGGUUGUGGAUGGACUCGCGGCUUAUCAGCUUGUUUGUGGGGUAGGUGCUUACCAAGGCUUUGACGGAUAGGCGGCCUUAGAGGGUGACCGGCGACAUUGGGACUGAGAUACGGACCAGAAUCCUACGGGAGGCAGCAGUGGGGAGUCUUGCGCAAUGGGCGGAAGCCUGAUGCAGCAACGCCGCGUGCGGGAUGACGGCCUUCGGGUUGUAAACCGCUUUCGACUAUGACGAAGCGUGAGUGACGGUACUGGGUAAAGAAGCACCGGCUAACUACGUG
rnacentral:rRNA from 1 species